UACCCUAUAUAUAAAAAUAACUGUAUGUGGCUAUAUUGAGAUACGGGUUAUGCUUCCAUCAUAGCAAGCUUUUGCAGUGGUGACAAUGAGGCCUGUAACAUUU